rnacentral:misc_RNA from 1 species
GAACGCAUCUUGCGCUCCUUGGUAUUCCGAGGAGCAUGCCUGUUCGAGCGUCAUUUCAACCCUCAAGCUCUGCUUGGUGUUGGGCCCCGCCCGCUCGCGGCCGGCCCUAAAGACAGUGGCGGCAGCGUCUGGCUCCAAGCGUAGUACAAUCCUCGCUCUGGUGCUAGGCGGUGGCCUGCCAGAACCCCCCUUCUAUGGUUGACCUCGGAUCAGGUAGGGAUACCCGCUGAACUUAAG